rnacentral:rRNA from 1 species
AUUGAACGCUGGCGGCAGGCUUAACACAUGCAAGUCGAGCGGGGGAAGGUAGCUUGCUACCGGACCUAGUGGCGGACGGGUGAGUAAUGCUUAGGAAUCUGCCUAUUAGUGGGGGACAACAUCUCGAAAGAGAUGCUAAUACCGCAUACGUCCUACGGGAGGAAGCAGGGGAUCUUCGGACCUUGCGCCAAUAGAUGGGCCUAAGUCGGAGUAGCUAGUUGGGGGGGUAAAGGCCUACCAAGGCGACGAUCUGUAGCGGGUCUUAGAGGAGGAGCCGCGAAGCUGGGACUGAGCCACGGCCCAGAAUCCUACGGGAGGGAGCAGUGGGGAAUAUUGGACAAUGGGGGCAACACUGAUCCAGCCAUGCCGCGUGUGUGAAGAAGGCCUUAUGGUUGUAAAGCACUUUAAGCGAGGAGGAGGCUACUCUAGUUAAUACCUGGAGAUAGUGGACGUUACUCGCAGAAUAAGCACCGGCUAACUCUGUGCCAGCAGCCGCAGUAA